CGCCCUUGGAAUCGCUGCCCCUCCCCCCCUUCCUCGUCGGCGUGGCCGAGCACGACCUCAUCGUCGACACCAACAUGGAGUACUGCGACGCCAUGAAGCGGGCCGGGAAGGACGUCGAGGUGCUCCUCAGCCGCGGCGUCAGCCACUCCUUCUACCUCAAUAAGUUCGCCGUCGACACCGACCCCCUCACCGCCGACAGGACCCACGAGCUCAUCCUCGCCAUCGCCAACUUCAUCCGCCGCCAUUGAUGUUUCAUGGUAAGUUACUGUGCCCGCACGUAGGAACGCGGUCUCUACCGUAACUAAAAAAAGUCUUUAACGAACGU
rnacentral:lncRNA from 1 species